AUCGUCUGUUAAGUGGGAAUAAUAAUAAUUGUACCUACCUCUAAGGUAUUUGGAGGGUUUGAUAAGAUACACAAAGCCUUUGGUGUAGUGCUUGGCUCAUUGUUAAGUACUUAAUACAUGUUACUUUUUCUUUUUUUCCAUUCUCCCGCUCCCCCCUGCCCCCCUGCCACCAAUGAGAAAGAUCGUGGCAGAAAAACCCUCAUUCUGCCCAAAACCAAGGGCCACAAAGGAGGUAGCAUCUAGUCCAUGGAAACUGAAUAAUUGCAUUUUCCUUUUAAGUGAGAGGAUGCAGUAAAGAAUCUAAUUUGAGCUGAAUGAGAACUGGAUGCCCAAGUAGGAAAUUCUGAGAAUCUAACAUCCUUACCAUGCAUUCUCCAUGCAAUGAUGCCAACUCCUCCUUACAGUGUAUCUGCUCUGUGUAUGCUACAGUAAAAGGAGUUUGUGAGUCAGCAGACGGCGGGAAGCACCAGGGCAGAGGAGCAGCUGAGCUGUGUUGCGCCGCCAAGCGCUGUGCUGUCCCCCUCCUGCUCCCAGGCCCUCCUGCUGCCAUCAGCACCCACCUCCCCUCGGAGUUAUCCUUCUGCUUCGGGACUGUUCUCACAGCAUUUAGUGUCAGCUGCCUGCCCUGCUGUGUAAGAAAGAACACAAGAUUAUCAGAUAUUCUGAAGGGAUGAUGCAAUGUGUCAACAAAGACUCCAUCUGCCGUUAUAUAAGCAUCUCUAUGCUCAAUAAAAGAGAAUGAUCCUAAGCUCUAGUUAUAAAG
rnacentral:lncRNA from 1 species